UUGAGUCUGUAUCCAGGGCCAGAAACCUGCUGGACCUACCAAAAGAAUAUCUUGAUAUUAGAGAAUCGAAAGAUGGUCUUCAUCAUAAUCAUCAUGACCAGUAACUAGGAACACUUGAAACCGUGAAAUUGCAACUGUUUGACUUUUUUUGACCUGAAAAAACCAGUUUCAGCCUAAAACUAUGCCCUAGGAGAUGAGUUCCUGAGGACACUAGAAAGCGAAACAUACACAUACAGCUCUCCAAGGGGUUUGCGGUAACUGGAUUAGAAGGAAGCUUCUAUCUCCCUCACAGAAUCUAACCUCCGUUUGACAAAGGAUGGAAACUACCAACAGGAAAAGGGCAGGUGAUGCAGUAAAGGUGUCUGCAUCCCCAUCUCCUAGAACAAGAAGAACAACAUGAGAAACACACCCAUGUGAUCUGAAUGUUCCCAGCAGUGAUCUAGAGAGGACACUGAAAACAUCACUGGAAUAAAUCUGAAAUAUUGUUACCACUUAACUUGGGAUCUCACCUUUAUUGAACUGAUGAAAAGCACAGGUUUUUUUUUGUUUUUGUUUUUGUUUUUGUUUUUGUUUUUUUGAAAAAUAAAGUCAUGCCUUGCUAGAACUGACCAAUCUGGAGUGACUAAUUUUGUGACCUGAUUGUGCAACUUGUGCUUAACAACUAAAAGAUGAGCCUCCAGCUCCAAGACCUUCCAGCUGACAGUUUCCUGGAGUUCGAUGCCCCAGCUGAUGAACUUCUCCUACUGAGAAAAAGAUAGUGAGGAAAUAUCUUGACUGUCACUUUGUCACCAUGCCACAGAGACAGCCAGUUCUCCUGAAGCCCGUAUGAGUGGAGAGAUUCUCCAGCACCUGUGUCCUUCUGGGAAUGAUGGAAGCUAGCGGCAGUAGAAAUCCGAGUGCUGUGGGUCCAAUCAGAGAUGUGUUUCCAGUUUCAGCUACUAGGGGGCAGAAUUGCAGCAGCGGUAACGGUGGAGUGUUUCCAGAAACGGAGAAGCAGGAGCCAAAAUUAGGCAUCCAGCCAGCAGAAAGACAAGCAAAGGUACAGGCCAGGAAAGGCACAGGAAAUAUGGGCUCAGCAGAGCUGGUAGGCAAGAAUGAGGGUGUGGACAGGCCAGGAGCGUAACGCUGAGGUGGCAGUAGGCUUCUGAAAACCGCUGAGAGGCAGGCUGAGUAGGGCUUCCUCGACCCCCAGAACCUGACGUUGCCUCUGACAAGAGUUGCCAAGGUGUAGUUUCUGCAAACAAGAAUCUGUCAGCCCAAGUGUUCAAACAUUUAUUAAGGUUGGGGGAAGGGGGUGGAUUCAACUAGGGAAGAACAGAUUUCUGAGGGAACCUCCCAGGAAGGUUGGAGGGGAUCCAGAAGCAAGUACAGACAGAAAAUGGGGGUGGCCUAUAAAAAGAGAGGGAUGAUUUUUCAGGGGAGUGGUGAAGAAAUUCUCCUCGGUCAGUAAAUUGAUGAUUAAAAUCUUUCCAGUUUGCUUUUUCCUGAUCCUAAAGCUUUGAUCCCAAUUAAAAUGUAAUGCCCAAGAAAAAUGAAAUACUUGGAAUACCUGUCAAUCAUUUAUAUUGUGGUAUGAAUAAGUGAUUUAUUAGGCAAAUGUUAGUUGAACAUCUACUUUGUGGUGCUAGAGCUUGCAUCCCAAUGGAGCUGGACCAGCAGUAAACAAGUAAACACAUAGAUAAAAUUUCAGAUAGUGAAAAGGCAAUGGGAGAAAAGAUGUCAGGUAACAACAAAGAGAAAGACCAGGCAGGUUGAAAAUCCUCAGAAAACUGUCUCUAAAGGCGAUAUUCAAACCAAGACCUAAAUGCUGAGGAGUCCCCAACGCAAAGAUCUGUGGGAAGAACCUUCCAAGCAGAGAGGACAGCAGUAUAAGGAGGG